rnacentral:RNase_P_RNA from 1 species
GCACUGUCACGGUCUGUCGCUGGUGUCAUUCUGGCACAAGAGGAAAGUCCGGGCAGCACAGGGCGCCCCACUUCUGAAAGUGGAAGCUAUUGGUGACAGUAGGUUAGGGCAGAAGAGAAUGACCGCCGAACUCCUUUUGUCUCUACCUCUUAGGAGGGAGUGAGAAAGGGGUGGUAAGGGUGAGAAGGUGGUGUAAGAGACCACCAGCCGAUGGGUGAUCAUCGGGCUGUGUCCGCUGGGGGCUGCAAGUUCAUGUAAACCGUCCCGACAGAGGGUUGCCCGCCCGAGUUGACGAAGGCCUGAGCAGAAAUGCAAUACGGCCGGGGCUCAUGCGGCGGAGGGUAGAACGCUUGAGCCAUGGGGUGACUCAUGGACUAGAUAAAUGACAGGCACCGUGUUUGCACGGUACAGAACCCGGCUUAUAGGGGCAGUGCUUUC